GACGAACGCUGGCGGCGUGCUUAACACAUGCAAGUCGAACGGAAAGGCCCUGCUUUUGUGCGGUGCUCGAGUGGCGAACGGGUGAGUAACACGUGAGUAACCUGCCCUUGACUUUGGGAUAACUUCAGGAAACUGGGGCUAAUACCGGAUAGGAGCUCCUGCUGCAUGGUGGGGGUUGGAACGUUUCGGCGGUUGGGGAUGGACUCGCGGCUUAUCAGCUUGUUGGUGGGGUAGUGGCUUACCAAGGCUUUGACGGGUAGCCGGCCUGAGAGGGUGACCGGCCACAUGGGGACUGAGAGACGGCCCAGACGCCUACGGGAGGCAGCAGGGGGGAAUAUGGCACAAUGGGCGGAAGCCUGAUGCAGCAACGCCGCGUGCGGGAUGACGGCCUGCGGGGUGUAAACAGCUUUCGCCUGUGACGAAGCGUGAGUGACGGUAAUGGGUAAAGAAGCACCGGCUAACUACGUG
rnacentral:rRNA from 1 species